UGAUUGUAACUUUUAGAAAAAAAUCCUACUAUAGCAAGUUUUCCUCAGGUUCAUGCUUUGGUUCCGGUUUCAACCCAACCUACAAUUACAAAUGUUCCUACAUCUGAAUCUUCCAGUGUUAUAAUAGACAAUUGGGCUGAUGUUUUUAAAGUUCCCUGGGAAAAGCUGCCAGCUGAAAUCAUGGAUUUACUCCACAAAAAUGCUCCUCUUUUGCCAAAACAGAAAAGUACAAUGAUCAGGGUCUUUUGUGACCAUAUUAUAAAAAUUACAAGAAAACCAGGUCGUAAAAAUUUGGAGAAAAUUGCAUUUCAAAUAGUUAAAAAAUAUCCCAUUUCUCUUGAGGAUAAGUUUGAAAAUCAGAGAGUAGGAACAGGAACCAGCUCUAUUGUGAAAAAACUAGAGGCUCGUGUUGAAAAUGUUAAUAAGCUACAAGCUCCAAAUCCAUUAAAACGAAACUUUGCUGCUGAAAGUUAUGCAAUGGAUGAAGAACCAAAAUAAGCAAAAGUCAGACCAAAAGAUUCUUAUGGAUGCGUUGAUUGGCUGCCAAGACUUGAUGGAAAUGAAAAUGAAAAAAGUCAGGACAAGCAUAUUGGGUGGCUGCAAGAUCAUCACAAUUUGCCCUCUUUAUUGUGGAAUGUUUAUGAAAUAGAAAGGCUACGUUCUUUAACUUAUCCUUCACAGCGUGCUGAUAUAGUCGGAUUAAAUGCACUGAAAAUAGUAUCGUUAGUGGCUAAAUGGUCAUUUUUAUUUAAAGCCAAUUGGUUUUUACAUCAUUUUAAAACAUUGACUGGAGUUGACAUAGCUUUUAUAUUUGAAGAAAAUCUUAAAAUUAAAUCUACCAUAAUAUUCGAAUUUUUGCAACACCAAAAAGAAAUGCAAUUAGCCAUAAAUUAAAUGAUAUUAGCUGGGCAAGGUAAUGUGUUAGCACCACUUGUUGCUGCAAUUUUGGGCAUUUGCCAGUUUUUUAAAGAAUCUUCCAAGUUUUUGUUUCAUCAGACUAUGGAGCAUGCAAAUGUGGAUGAUAUUGAAAAGGACAUUACUCUUCCACUUUCUCCUUGUAUUGUUUUUGCUGGAACUUGCAUAUUCAAGUGUAAUAGUUUUUACUAGGUUGUUG